rnacentral:piRNA from 1 species
UCGCUAUCUUGGGACUCUUCUUUGUGCUU